GGAUAAGACAUGCAAGUCGAACGAGAAACUUACUUAGCUUGCUUUGAAAGUUUCUAGUGGCGAACGGGUGAGUAACACGUGAGUUACCUGCCUCGAAGUGGGAGAUAGCCCGGGGAAACUCGGAUUAAUACCCCAUGUGAUCGUAAGAUUAAAGGCGGCUUCGGCUGUCGCUUCGAGAUGGGCUCGCGGCCUAUCAGUUAGUUGGUGAGGUAAAAGCUCACCAAGACGAUGACGGGUAGCUGGUCUGAGAGGACGACCAGUCACACUGGAACUGAGACACGGUCCAGACACCUACGGGUGGCAGCAGUCGAGAAUCAUUCGCAAUGGACGAAAGUCUGACGGUGCGACGCCGCGUGGAGGAUGAAGGCCCUAGGGUCGUAAACUCCUGUCAUCAGGGAGUAAUUACUUAUGUAGUAACUGACAUAGGUCUUGAUAAUACCUGAAGAGGAAGGGACGGCAAACUUCGUGCCAGCAGCCGCGGUAAUACGAAGGUCCCAAGCGUUGUUCGGAUUUACUGGGCGUAAAGCGUCUGUAGGCGGGAUGGUAAGUCAGAUGUGAAAUCCCGGGGCUCAACCCCGGAACUGCAUCCGAUACUGCCAACCUAGAGGGUCGGAGGGGAGUCUGGAAUUCUCGGUGUAGCAGUGAAAUGCGUAGAUAUCGAGAGGAACACUCGUGGCGAAGGCGAGACUCUGGACGACACCUGACGCUGAGAGACGAAGGCCAGGGUAGCGAAAAGGAUUAGAUACCCUUGUAGUCCUGGCAGUAAACGGUGCACGCUUGGUGUGGGAA
rnacentral:rRNA from 1 species